rnacentral:rRNA from 2 species
AGAUAAGUGCUGAAAGCAUCUAAGCACGAAACUUGCCCCGAGAUGAGUUCUCCCUGAGACUUAAAGUCUCCUGAAGGAACGUUGAAGACGACGACGUUGAUAGGCCGGGUGUGUAAGCGCAGCGAUGCGUUGAGCUAACCGGUACUAAUGAACCGUGAGGCUUAACCUUACAACGCCGAAG